rfam:Cylindrobasidium torrendii FP15055 ss-10 unplaced genomic scaffold CYLTOscaffold_64, whole genome shotgun sequence.
GGCGAGAUGGCCGAGCGGUCUAAGGCGCCAGACUAAGGACCAGCUUGCUCUGCAAGCGUCUCAUCUGGUCCGAAAGGGCGUGGGUUCGAAUCCCACUCUCGUCA